GGAGGUGCAACUGGGUGCGGGGGUCGGGGGACGAUGUGAACCCCAAACGACAGCGAACCCUUUGAGUCGCCUUCGCAUGGCAAAGGCCACGAGUUCGAGUCUCGUCGGGUCCA
rnacentral:tRNA from 1 species